rnacentral:rRNA from 1 species
CACCGGGAUUGCCUUAGUAACGGCGAGUGAAGCGGCAAAAGCUCAAAUUUGAAAUCUGGCGUCUUCGACGUCCGAGUUGUAAUUUGAAGAAGGCGACUUUGUAGCUGGUCCUUGUCUAUGUUCCUUGGAACAGGACGUCAUAAGGGUGAGAAUCCCGUGUGGCGAGGAUCCCAGUUAUUUGUAAAGUGCUUUCGACGAGUCGAGUUGUUUGGGAAUGCAGCUCUGAGUGGGUGGUAAAUUCCAUCUAAAGCUAAAUAUUGGCGAGAGACCGAUAGCGAACAAGUACAGUGAUGGAAAGAUGAAAAGAACUUUGAAAAGAGAGUGAAAAAGUACGUGAAAUUGUUGAAAGGGAAGGGCAUUUGAUCAGACAUGGCGUUUGCUUCGGCUUUCGCUGGGCCAGCAUCAGUUUUAGCGGUUGGAUAAAUCCUCGGGAAUGUGGCUCUGCUUCGGCAGAGUGUUAUAAUCCGUGGGAAUACAGCCAGCUGGGACUGAGGAUUGCGACUUUUGACAAGGAUGCUGGCGUAAUGGUUAAUGCCGCCGCUGGAAUA